UCAUGGCUCAGGACGAACGCUGGCGGCGUGCCUAAUACAUGCAAGUAGAACGCUGAAGAGAGGAGCUUGCUCUUCUUGGAUGAGUUGCGAACGGGUGAGUAACGCGUAGGUACCUGCCUUGUAGCGGGGGAUAACUAUUGGAAACGAUAGCUAAUACCGCAUAACAAUAGGUGACACAUGUCAUUUAUUUGAAAGGGGCAAUUGCUCCACUACAAGAUGGACCUGCGUUGUAUUAGCUAGUAGGUGAGGUAACGGCUCACCUAGGCGACGAUACAUAGCCGACCUGAGAGGGUGAUCGGCCACACUGGGACUGAGACACGGCCCAGACUCCUACGGGAGGCAGCAGUAGGGAAUCUUCGGCAAUGGGGGCAACCCUGACCGAGCAACGCCGCGUGAGUGAAGAAGGUUUUCGGAUCGUAAAGCUCUGUUGUAAGUCAAGAACGAGUGUGAGAGUGGAAAGUUCACACUGUGACGGUAGCUUACCAGAAAGGGACGGCUAACUACGUGCCAGCAGCCGCGGUAAUACGUAGGUCCCGAGCGUUGUCCGGAUUUAUUGGGCGUAAAGCGAGCGCAGGCGGUUUGAUAAGUCUGAAGUUAAAGGCUGUGGCUCAACCAUAGUUCCUUUGGAAACUGUCAAACUUGAGUGCAGAAGGGGAGAGUGGAAUUCCAUGUGUAGCGGUGAAAUGCGUAGAUAUAUGGAGGAACCCGGUGGCGAAGCGGCUCUCUGGUCUGUACUGACGCUGAGGCUCGAAAGCGUGGGGAGCGAACAGAUAGAUACCCUGGUAGUCCACGCCGUAAACGAUGAGUGCUAGGUGUUGGAUCCAUCCGGGAUUCAGUGCCGCAGCUAACGCAUUAAGCACUCCGCCUGGGGAGUACGACCGCAAGGUUGAAACUCAAAGGAAUUGACGGGGGCCCGCACAAGCGGUGGAGCAUGUGGUUUAAUUCGAAGCAACGCGAAGAACCUUACCAGGUCUUGACAUCCCGAUGCUAUUUCUAGAGAUAGAAAGUUACUUCGGUACAUCGGUGACAGGUGGUGCAUGGUUGUCGUCAGCUCGUGUCGUGAGAUGUUGGGUUAAGUCCCGCAACGAGCGCAACCCCUAUUGUUAGUUGCCAUCAUUCAGUUGGGCACUCUAGCGAGACUGCCGGUAAUAAACCGGAGGAAGGUGGGGAUGACGUCAAAUCAUCAUGCCCCUUAUGACCUGGGCUACACACGUGCUACAAUGGUUGGUACAACGAGUUGCGAGUCGGUGACGGCAAGCUAAUCUCUUAAAGCCAAUCUCAGUUCGGAUUGUAGGCUGCAACUCGCCUACAUGAAGUCGGAAUCGCUAGUAAUCGCGGAUCAGCACGCCGCGGUGAAUACGUUCCCGGGCCUUGUACACACCGCCCGUCACACCACGAGAGUUUGUAACACCCGAAGUCGGUGAGGUAACCUUUUGGAGCCAGCCGCCUAAGGUGGGAUAGAUGAUGGGAAGAAGUCGUAACAAGG
rnacentral:rRNA from 1 species